UACGUAGGGUGCAAGCGUUGUCCGGAAUUAUUGGGCGUAAAGAGCUCGUAGGCGGUCUGUCGCGUCUGCUGUGAAAACUCGGGGCUUAACCCCGGGCCUGCAGUGGGUACGGGCAGACUGGAGUGCGGUAGGGGAGACUGGAAUUCCUGGUGUAGCGGUGAAAUGCGCAGAUAUCAGGAGGAACACCGGUGGCGAAGGCGGUUCUCUGGGCAUGUCCUGACGCUGAGGAGCGAAAGUGUGGGGAGCGAACAGG
rnacentral:rRNA from 1 species